rnacentral:tRNA from 1 species
UCUCCAGUGGUCCAGUGGUUGGGAUUCUGUGCUUUCACUUCCAAGGGCCCAGGUUCGAUCCCUGGCUGGGGAA